CCAAAUGUUUCUCAGCUCCUGAAAUUCAUUCUGCGUCGAAUUAAUAUGGGUGAAGUCUCAUAACUCUGACAUAUAUCCCUCGGUGACACUAUCUCCUUUCUCUAACUGGAUUUUCUCUGACCAAGUACAGAUAGAAGCAGUCCUCCAUUUUAUCAAAGUAUUCAUUCCUCAUUAAAAAACUUUCUAAUCUAGAAAUCGAGCCGUAAAGCGACACCUUUAAAUGCCAAAUAACAUGCAAUGACAGCAAAAUAAAAAUAUGUUAGUAUCAUAAAAAAAUUGAUAAACAAGUACUUAUAAGGGUAGCUUGCUAAAGGCUAUCACUAUUUUUUCUAAACUCUUUAAAAUUCACUAUAUGAGUUUUAACUCUAAAGGCAGGAUACUUGAACCAGCAGAUUCCUUAGUCUUCACCUAUUAUAGGCUCAUAUAGACCAAGUUCAGUUCAGGGGAACACAUUUCUCUAUGGCCAUACGGAGAUAAAAAUCUCACGAAGACAUAAAUAUAGUAUCCCGGAAGCAAUCCACUAGCUCAUACGAAGAUGAAAACCUUACGAAAGCGUAGCUUCUCACUCCCACUUAAAGGUGUGAUCACAACGGUUAUGCAAAUGCAAUGUACAGCAAUAAAGUAACAAACAUAUGCAGCAAACACAUGUAAAAAAGAUCCAAUUUUAAAUUUUCUAAAUUUUCGACAUUAAGAUAAAAAAUACUCAAUUUCUUGGUUUCUCUUAAGUCCCCAGUGGAGUCGCCAAGCUGUCGAAACCAUUUUUUAAAAGGAUAUUUAAAAAAUGGGAAUCGACUUUUAAAAAACGAAAAUGGGAGUCGCCACCAACCUUUUUACGUGUGAUUGGAUCACCUUAUAAAACGUUUUAGUCUACGAAAAUUAAGAAAAUAGGUUCGAGAAUUGGUUACAUACGGGGAAUGAUUAGCACCCUCGCAACGCUCAAAAUUGAUACCAAAUUGAAUAGUUUUCUAUUUUAAUGUUAAAAAUUUGAAAGGAUUUAAAAAUAAAAUCCCUUUUUUUAAAACCAGAAUUAUUUAAGUUAAAAAAUCGAGAUUUCUUAGUUCUGAAAGAAUACAAACAUCACAUCCAGCAUGACAGGACACGAUAUUUUUAAACUCUCGUAAUUGAAAUCAUCUCGUGAUUUACAAAAUCUAUUUAGAAGAAUACUUUAGGCAUUUAGAAAAACAAGAAAUCACAACCCAGCAUGUUAGGGCACUAUUUCCUGAAUUCCUAAAUACAAAAAAACAUUCCCUCAUUUUAGAAAAACUUUUGAAUAAAAUAUAACAAUUAAAUGAAAUAUAUUUUUUUAAAAUAAUGAUUUGAGUAAAAUUUAAAAAAUAAUUUACUAAGAGUAAUACUAAAAAAAAUUAUUAAAAAAUGAAAGAGUUUGAUAUGAUACUAAAAUUAUUAAAAAAUUAAAAUAUAUAAAAAAAAUAAGGGAAAAAUGGAUUAAAUCAAAAUAAAAAAGAUUGAAAAACGAAUAUGAACAAAAAAAAAGAAUAAACCGUAGCAAAUAAGAACAUAAAAGGGAGAGAAAUUUGAGUGAAAGCUCUCAAAAAUUUUUAUUGUUUCCCAAAACUCCAAUGUGUUUACAAUGAAGGGAGAGGCCUCUAUUUAUAGUUGAACUUCCUCAAAUCCAACGGUACAAAUCAAUUACAUCAACAGUUAAUAUUAAAAGGUAUCUACAAAUUAAAUCUCUAAGAUUAUAAAAUCAUAUCUUCUAAGAUUGCAUAUCAUAUCUAAAAUUGUAUCAAUCUAAGAUUGCAUAUUAUAUCUAAGAUUGCAUAUCAUUGAAGAUUAUAUUUCCAUAUGAGUCAAGCUUGUAGAUGGACCUUAAAUCUUUUCAAAUAAUGAGCCAUUCCGAUCGAGCCAAAUUAUAUUUGUAAUUCUAGACUAAACUUGGACUUCGUUUUUUUUUUAGUUUAUUAUUUUUGUUUUUAGACUUAUUUCUUAGCCCGGGCAAAAUUGAGUGUCUACACAAUGCCUUCCUCCCCGACAAAUUUAGCCUCCCCAAAGUUUGGCCAAAGGAUCAUCCAUUUUAAAAAUCAUAUAAUUUUACUCAUUUCAUUAAAAUGAGUUUAGAUUUUAAUAUAUAUACAUAAAAGAAUGUAGCCUGAUUUCAAGAAAAAUCCUUAGCUCAAUAUGCCAAAAAUCACUCUUUAACAUUGAAAAAACAGUUUGAUUAAGAUUUUUGAAAUCUAUCUAGUCAAAUUUUAUAUUUUGGACUCAUUUUAAAACCAAAAUAACUAAAUCAACGCCUAAGGCAAGAUUACGAUUAUCCAAAGCACAACCACAUCCAAACAACUCAUAACCAAAUAGUAACUUCAAGUAAUGUAUCCAAAACAUCACAACACUGCCAAAAAUCACAAAUAAACACAUCCAAACAAUUCACAAUUACAUAGCAAUGUCAAACAAUAUAUCUAAAACACCAUAUAACAUCCAAACAAUCUCAAAUAUUAACAAAAAUUGGGAAUUUUCAAAGACAACUCUUUUUAGAAAAAAUCAAAACCCCUUUUUAUAUUAUUUGAAAGUUAAAAUGCUGAAGUUUUACCUUAGAAAUCUUAAAGGUUUCUUAAUUUCUCCAAGAUUGGGUUUCUCUUUCAACACAAGCUCAAGAAUUCUAUGGGUGGCAUAAAAAAAAUUUAAACAUUUCUUAACUUCUCCAAGAUUGGGUUUCUCUUUCAAAGCAAGCUCAAGAAUUCUAUGGGUGGCAUAAAAAAUUCAGUGUUGCUUUAAACUCCACCCACUUUGGGUUUUUACCUUAGAAUUGCGUUCUUUCUUUUUUUAUUGUGUUAUCAUGUUGAGAAUUCAAAUCUCUCCCAAAAGACAAUUUUAGUUCUAAUAGAUGGCAUAAAAUCUGAUGACAAAUUCUUCAACUUAGCUAAUCAUGUAUGAUCAAAAUGGAUUUAAAGGCACAAAAUGUAACUGAGGGUUCAAGGUUACAAAAGAAAGGAUAGUCUAGGCCAAAUAACUAUUUGAAGGCAAACCAAGAACCAUUUCUUUCCAUAAGGAACUUCCUAGUUCUUCUGUUUUUUUCAUUUCACUCAUUUCAUUUCUUUCUUCUUGUUUUGUUUUCUUUAUUCACACUUUUCUUUCCCUUCUUUUCAUUUUCACCUUUUGUUGUUGCCUCUCGAAAUGAGUUCAAAACUUCCAAGCUCUCUUACAUUUGCAGCCAUAUCUUGAGGCUCCAAUUUCACAGCAUAAUGAAAACCACCGACUCAUUUUUUAGCCACCUAAUUUUGUACUAGACACCAAAAACUCGAUUGUCCUUAAUCUAAGUCCCUAGGUUUUGCUUAAAUUGAGUCUCAUAAAAUAUACUGAGACCUUUGGCACGUUCAAAAGGAACCUAAAGAUCCCAAUAAAGGAGUUAAUAGGAGAGGUAAAAUUGGAAGGCUCAAAUUAGAAAAGUCAACCAUGCAUCCUUAAAGUGAAAAGUCAACAUUUUGAGAGAGUUAAAAUGGACGAGUUAAAUGAGCUUAAUGAGUGGGAGAAAUGGAAGUAAGAAGGAGGCAAAUUAUAGUCCCAUCCUAUGUUGCUCGAACUCUUCAUUUUUCUUUUAAGUACACAUGUUCGGCACUCGUGUCCAACAAAUGGAUACAUAUAACCCCUAAAGAUCUUCCAAAUACAUGAAAAAACAUAGAAAAAUCUAACCAUGAUUGUGUCAGAUACAUAUAUGCAUCACUCACACCUAAACACAAGUAACAUAAGUUCCACCCAUUUCCAUCUGUAGGCUAGGCACAUCACGCAUGUACAUCAUCAAAUGCAACUUGCCUAAAGUGGUCUAAAUUGCUUUUCUUGUAUGGCACUAAGGUAUAGUGCUGUAAGGCGUACACCUCGUGCCUUAGCAUUAGACAACAAAAGCACCUCAGACCCUUUCUCAAGAGGUCCAUUUGAUAAUUGAUCAAGCACGCACUUGGUUCAUCUAGUCGCUCUCUUUGCAAGGCAAUAGGCACAAAAAAGAAAAGCCCACCCAACCAAGGUUAUCUUUAAUUUCUAUUAUUUUUCACAUUUUUUGUUGCAUAUACCUUCACUAGUAAGAAAGGAAUAGAAUCCAAUUAUAUAUUCCUCAAUUAUUUGAGUAUUCAACAUAGAAAUGGACCAUCUUGACCAAUAAAAAAAAUUACAUGUUUUGUAGAUAAACUAGACCAUAUAUGUGAUAUAUCUAUCACAUAUAUAUAUUAAGCUUUAUAUGUAUAUAUAUGACAUAUAUACAUUGAUAAAUUCAUAGACAGACACAUUCAAAGUUUCACCCAUGGACAUAUUGCGCUUUACUUCAUUCAAGUUGGAAUCUUUUUUUCUUUUUCUUUUUUUGCCUUACGCCUAGAGGCAAUAUAAGGGUCCUAGUGCCUAGAGAGCACCCUAAGGCACAAGGCCUAAGCGCAUGCCUUAACAACACCAGCUGAACCCAUUUCCAUGCCAUUGCAACUCAAAUAAAUAAAUAGAAGUUACAAGUGACCUCAAAACAAAAAUUCGAUUUACUACACUAAGAAGUAAGAAAUAAAACUUAGUUUGAAAGAUCUCAACUAUUUUAUCAAAAGAAGUUGCAGACUUGGUAGCUGUUAUGUACUCAUAAAUGAUUAAAACUGGAGAAAAUCAAAACCAACAAUUGAUUUUCCAGAAAGUUGAAUCUUUAAUUUAUAGAUUCUUGAAAACAUUAUUUUUUUGUAAUUCCAAACACGCUUUAAGAAAAUGAAACAACUUGACAUAAAAUUAAGAAUUCCACAAACUUCACUGAACCGGGAAUGAAGCUAAGAAAAUAAUAUUCAUCUCAAUUCAUAAAUCUCCCAAAUUAUUCAAAUAAAUAAAUAGAAAAAGGGGUAAUUUGUACCUUUAUCAGAGACCUUGGAA
rnacentral:lncRNA from 1 species